GUAGUCCAUAGAGGUUCUUCCAGCCAUUGGGGCCAUAGAGAAAACUAAUCAGUCCUGAAAAUCUCAACACUGAAAUAGAGUUCUGUCUGAAACUCAGUGGCCCAAUAUAGCCCCAUAAUAACAGAUCAAGCCUCGUGGAGGAGAGUUUUAAUUGCAAGCUUUGCUCAAGGGCUCACCUGUGCUAUCCUAUCCAUGUAAAUACAGGUUGGAGGCCUGGGUUCCUGGCUAGCUCACAUCCUUCCCUCUCCAGCAGUUCCAACUUUUAUCAAUUCCAGGAAGAUUCAAUAACAUUGUAAAGGCAGGAAGUGAAACUGUAUUAGGUGGGACUCAACUUCUGAGCGGAGAAGAAGUAGCUCUCCUUAAAGACCAACAACAAUCUUCCCUUUUUUCCAGCCUGGGACCUUCACUGAACCUUGAAUGGCAAAGCACAUGGUUAUUCCAUUCCACCUCGCAGCUAGCUUGCCGUAAUUGAUUCUAUUUAUCAGCUUACUUUUUUUUUUUUUUUUAAUAAAUACCAUGAAUGGACUCAUGCUGCAUGUAUGUGUAAACCAGAGUCUGCCCUGCAACAAUAGUUCCCUGUUAUUCUCUAUUUCGUGCUCACAAUGGAAGAGACACAUCCAAAUAGGACAGAAAAAUAUUGCUUUAUAAAACUGAAGUAGGUGUGCAGCAUCUAAUCCAGCCAUCCAUCAUCUCUCUGCUCUAAUCUGCCUAAAGUCAAUGGGGACAGAGAGGGAAGAGGCAGGCAACAACAAUAGUAUCAUGGUAACCGUGAGAGCGAUGCCGGAGUGGAUUGUCUGCUCCGAGAGCACGGGGAGCGCUGCACAACCUCGCAUGAAGCUUCCCCGAGCUGUGUGUCCUGGCUCGUGCUCUGCAAAAUGUUGUCUGCCUGCCAGAGCUGAUGCUUCCUUGCUCCUGUAUCUGAAGAGGUGGUGAACAAGCAUCAUUCCUUAUGGUUUUACAGCCAUCUACUGCAUCCACUCUCAGCCAUCUCUUCUUGAAAAUAGUUACGUCGCAUUAACAGGACCUCAUUUCUAAAAGCCACAAGCUGAGCAAGACUUGCAAGGAAAGAAGAGAGAAACUCAAACCACAUUUGCCAUGCCCAUGUUCCCAGCUUGCUGCAGCCCACCUUUUCCUCCAGCAGUAAUUCGCUUUGCAGCCCCUUAUGACCCCUUGGAGCUGGAUUCACCUCUCCUAACUCUGUAAAUUUGAGGCAUUUUACCAGCCACCGCUAGAUACCUGCUUUAGGGGAGGGGAGAAAACCUUCUGAGACCUCCCAUGGGACUUCAGACCUCAGCUCUCACAGAGACACCGGUAUCAUGGCUGGCUGAAUCCCACCCAUGGGUUAAGG
rnacentral:lncRNA from 1 species